AGAUGCUAGUCAUUGACUACACUCUCGUACUAGUCGGUGUGCCCGUGACUCUGUGCCCGGGCUGAGGAUGCCCUCCGUCGUCAUUCCUUAUAACCAGUUACCCGCUUUCGGACUUGGUCGGUACGGCGCACUUCCUAAUUCCAGGAAACCUAACAUUUGAAGAAAAUAGACCCUGCUUUUUUCCGCUAAGAAGCAGUGAACUGCCAUGGUCUACUUAUUCGUGGCCGAUUGAGGCACGGUCGUCGGCGCCAUUAUGCCUCCCACGUUCGCAAUAGGCCUAAGUGACCCAAAUUUCCCACGCAUCCGCCCGUCCAUUCAGUCACCACUUUAGGGGCUCGAAUUGAGCCCUUGACGGUAACUAUGAUAGACAGAACUUAUAACACCUCCAUUCGCCUUAUACAGUACAUCGCCACUUUACGAAUCUAUACUGUAUCUUGUGGAUAACGCUUCCGUCGAAUGAUGCGUAUAUAACUGCGACUACGUGCUUUCGCACCCCUAGUUUGUCCUAAUCUAUGGGACCAUCAGGUGCGGGAUUUGCUACUAAUGAGCUGUAAACGCUAUAUGACAUUCACAGACUCGCUUUCGUAAUUCAUUAGG
rnacentral:rRNA from 1 species